CCAGUCGUUAGCGUCACGUAAUGCUAUGACGAUCUCGCGAGAUUUAUGACGUCGCUAUGACGACAGCUUCACUUCUGAUGCCGCCAUUUUGACGCUAUCAUACCUCUGUGAUAUUGCUGAAUUUCUGCUGACAUUUGCCUCACGAUCUGCUCAUCACCAGUUAUUGUCACUAUGAACUCCUACACCCAAGGUUGAAGAUAGGCAGCCCCCUUCUCCCCAGAGAGUUAUAUCGCAGAUCAGCCAUCGUCAAAGCGAACUUCUCCAGUUCAUGUGUAUCGUGCCUGUCGUGAACAUGUAUCACUGAAAUGCAAUAAAAUAUGUGGAAACGAAA